rnacentral:rRNA from 1 species
UAGUCCGCACGGUAAACGAUGGAUGCUCGCUAUCGGCGCUUGGCGUCGGUGGCAACGCGAAAGCUUUAAGCAUCCCACCUGGGGAGUACGCCGGCAACGGCGAAACUCAAAGGAAUUGACGGGGGCCCGCACAAGCGGAGAAACAUGUGGUUUAAUUCGAUGAUACGCGAGGAACCUUACCCGGGCUUGAAUCGCGGAAGAUUUAUCCGGAGACGGGUAUUCCCCACGGGGCUUCCGCG